AGACUCCUACGGGAGGCAGCAGUGAGGGAUAUUGGUCAAUGGGGGAAACCCUGAACCAGCAACGCCGCGUGAGGGAAGACGGUUUUCGGAUUGUAAACCUCUGUCCUCUGUGAAGAUGAUGACGGUAGCAGAGGAGGAAGCUCCGGCUAACUACGUGCCAGCAGCCGCGGUAAUACGUAGGGAGCAGGCGUUGUCCGGAUUUACUGGGUGUAAAGGGUGCGUAGGCGGCUUUGCAAGUCAGAAGUGAAAUCCAUGGGCUUAACCCAUGAACUGCUUUUGAAACUGCAGAGCUUGAGUGGAGUAGAGGUAGGCGGAAUUCCCGGUGUAGCGGUGAAAUGCGUAGAGAUCGGGAGGAACACCAGUGGCGAAGGCGGCCUGCUGGGCUCUAACUGACGCUGAGGCACGAAAGCGUGGGUAGCAAACAGGAUUAGAUACCCUGGUAGUCCACGCUGUAAACGAUGAUUACUAGGUGUGGGUGGACUGACCCCAUCC
rnacentral:rRNA from 1 species